rnacentral:rRNA from 1 species
AAGCCUGCUACCGAAGCUUGGGGUGCCCGCGAGGGCGCAGUAGGGGAGCGUUCUGGGAGCGGAGAAGCACGUCUGGCAAGGGCGUGUGGAGCGACCAGAAGUGAGAAUGCUGGCAUGAGUAGCGAGAAACAUGUGAGAACCAUGUUCGCCGGAAGUCUAAGGGUUCCGACGGAAGGUCAGUCCGCGUCGGGUUAGUCGGGCCUAAGCCGAGGCUGAGAAGCGUAGGCGAUGGACAACAGGUGAAUAAUCCUGUACCACCUGGAGGGAGCGAAGGAGGGACGCCGCGGGGUAGCUCAGCCGCCGCAGUGGAUGGCGGUGCGAAGCGAGAUAGCCGAUGAAGGGGAAGGGAAAUCCGCCCUGGAGGUGAAGGCGCGAGCGCGGAGCCUACGGGCCACAAGUGAGCGAGCCAGACGGCCGAGAAAAGCUUCUAAGUGAUGAACUCCGGGUGACCGUACCGCAAACCGACACAGGUAGACGGGUAGAGGAUACCAAGGCGAACGGGAGAACCCUCGUUAAGGAACUAGGCAAAAUGGCCCCGUAACUUCGGGAGAAGGGGCGCCCCCUGCUGGGGGGCCGCAGUGAAAGGGCUCUGCCGACUGUUUAACAAAAGCACAGGUCUCUGCAAACGCGUAAGCGGACGUAUAGGGGCUGACGCCUGCCCAGUGCCGGAAGGUUAAGGGGACGGGUUAGCGCAAGCGAAGCUCGGAACCGAAGCCCCGGUGAACGGCGGCCGUAACUAUAACGGUCCUAAGGUAGCGAAAUUCCUUGUCGGGUAAGAUCCGACCCGCACGAAUGGCGUAACGAGCGGAGCACUGUCCCAACGAGGGGCCCGGCGAAAUUGAAAUACGUGUGAAGAUGCGCGUUACCCGCAGCAGGACAAAAAGACCCCGUGGAGCUUUACUACAACUUGCUAUGGCGUUAGGGCUUGGCUUGUGCAGGAUAGCUGGGAGGCAGAGAAGCUGGGACGACAGUCUCGGUGGAGCCGCUGGUGAGAUACCAGCCUGGCGAAGUCUUGGCCCUAACCGUACACCGUGAACCGGGUACGGGACAGUGGCAGGCGGGUAGUUUGACUGGGGCGGUCGCCUCCGAAAGGGUAACGGAGGCGCCCAAAGGUGCCCUCAGGGUGAAUGGAAACCACCCGAAGAGUGUAAAGGCAGAAGGGCGCUUGACUGCGAGGCCUACGAGCCGAGCAGAGCCGAAAGGCGGGCUUAGUGAUCCCACGGUACCGAGUGGAAGGGCCGUGGCUUACCGGAUAAAAGCUACCCCGGGGAUAACAGGCUGGUCUGGUCCAAGAGUUCACAUCGACGACCAGGCUCGGCACCUCGAUGUCGGCUCAUCGCAUCCUGGGGCUGGAUCAGGUCCCAAGGGUUGGGCUGUUCGCCCAUUAAAGCGGUACGUGAGCUGGGUUCAGACCGUCGUGAGACAGGUCGGUCUCUAUCCGCUGUGGGCGCAAGGAGGUUGAGGGGAGCUGCCCCUAGUACGAGAGGACCGGGGUGGACGCAGCGCUGGUGUGCCGGUUGUCACGCCCGUGGCAUAGCCGGGUAGCCACCUGCGGAACAGAGAACCGCUGAAAGCAUCUAAGCGGGAAGCUGACCUCAAGAUGAGCCUCCUCACCGGGAAACCGGGUAAGACCGCUGGGAGACGACCAGCUAGAUAGGCCGGACGUGGAAGCGUCGUAAGGCGCGCAGCGAACCGGUACUAAGGGUCGAGGGCUUAUCCU